rnacentral:rRNA from 1 species
UACGAAGGGGGCGAGCGUUGUUCGGAUUUACUGGGCGGAAAGGGCGCGCAGGCGGCUCAUUUUGUCAGGCGUGAAAGCCCCGGGCUUAACCUGGGAACUGCGUUUGAUACAGAUGGGCUAGAGUUCGGGAGAGGAGAGCGGAAUUCCCAGUGUAGCGGUGAAAUGCGUAGAUAUCUGGAGGAACACCGGUGGCGAAGGCGGCAUCCUGGACCAACACUGACGCUGAGGAGCGAAAGCCAGGGGAGCAAACGGG